rnacentral:rRNA from 1 species
UACGUAGGGUGCAAGCGUUGUCCGGAAUUACUGGGCGUAAAGAGCUCGUAGGCGGUUUGUCGCGUCGUCUGUGAAAACCAGCAGCUCAACUGUUGGCUUGCGGCGAUACGGGCAGACUUGAGUAUUUCAGGGGAGACUGGAAUUCCUGGUGUAGCGGUGAAAUGCGCAGAUAUCAGGAGGAACACCGGUGGCGAAAGGCGGGUCUCUGGGGAAAUAACUGACGCUGAGGAA